AUCCAAAUAGCUCAAUUUUAGAGUAUAACAUUGAAGAUGUUGAGGUGAUUAAUUAAUCUUUGGAUA
rnacentral:tRNA from 1 species